AUAUUAUGAAAGCGGCGCUCCUUAUAUAAUAAAAUUUAUAUGUCACGUGACAUGUAUUGGCCAACCGUAACAAUGAAAACAAAAAUGGUGGGACAAGUUGAACCGGGCAAUUGCCUGAACUUUCAUGAAUUAUAAGUUACUUAAGAGUUAACAGCCCGAGUAUGGCGCUUUAUUAGCUAUGACUUUAAGGAAAGCGGGACUAUAGGUAUGAAGAUUAUUUGAAUGGUGCUGUAGCUGAAAGGUCAGGUUACUCCAGUCUCGUAUCCUUGAAACACUUUAGAGAUGCACAGAAAACUUGUUACUCUGGACAGGUGACCAUAAUAUAUAGUACAUGGACAGUUUGCGUAUGGACGAUAUAUGCACAUUAACUAAUUUUAUCUAAUCAAAUGAAUGUCUUUGUUGAAGUAAAACAUCUUGACUUGG